rnacentral:rRNA from 1 species
UACGUAGGGCGCAAGCGUUGUCCGGAAUUAUUGGGCGUAAAGAGCUCGUAGGCGGCCUGUUGCGUCCGCUGUGAAAUCCCGGGGCUCAACCCCGGGCCUGCAGUCGAUACGGGCAGACUAGAGUGCGGUAGGGGAGACUGGAAUUCCUGGUGUAGCGGUGAAAUGCGCAGAUAUCAGGAGGAACACCGGUGGCGAAGGCGGGUCUCUGGGCCGUAACUGACGCUGAGGAGCGAAAGCGUGGGGAGCAAACAGG